GGGAACGUACCCUUUGGUUCGGAAUAACGCUGGGAAACUAGCGCUAAUACCGGAUACGCCCUUUUGGGGAAAGGCUUGCUGCCGAAGGAUCGGCCCGCGUCUGAUUAGCUAGUUGGUGGGGUAAUGGCCUACCAAGGCGACGAUCAGUAGCUGGUCUGAGAGGAUGAUCAGCCACACUGGGACUGAGACACGGCCCAGACUCCUACGGGAGGCAGCAGUGGGGAAUAUUGGACAAUGGGCGCAAGCCUGAUCCAGCCAUGCCGCGUGAGUGAUGAAGGCCUUAGGGUUGUAAAGCUCUUUUGUCCGGGACGAUAAUGACGGUACCGGAAGAAUAAGCCCCGGCUAACUUCGUGCCAGCAGCCGCGGUAAUACGAAGGGGGCUAGCGUUGCUCGGAAUCACUGGGCGUAAAGGGCGCGUAGGCGGCCAUUCAAGUCGGGGGUGAAAGCCUGUGGCUCAACCACAGAAUUGCCUUCGAUACUGUUUGGCUUGAGUUUGGUAGAGGUUGGUGGAACUGCGAGU
rnacentral:rRNA from 4 species